rnacentral:rRNA from 1 species
UACGGGGGGUGCAAGCGUUGUUCGGAAUUAUUGGGCGUAAAGAGCGUGUAGGCGGUUUGUUAAGUCUGAUGUGAAAGCCCUGGGCUCAACCCAGGAAGUGCAUUGGAAACUGGCAGACUUGAAUACGGGAGAGGGCAGUGGAAUUCCUAGUGUAGGAGUGAAAUCCGUAGAUAUUAGGAGGAACACCGGUGGCGAAGGCGGCUGCCUGGACCGAUAUUGACGCUGAGGAGCGAAAGCUAGGGGAGCAAACGGG